UUUUUUUUUUUUUUUCUGCUUCCUAAGGAUUGGAUUUUUGGCAUGAAAAUGAGUGUCAUAUAUGGAGUGUGGCUUACAGUCUUAUGUCAAAAAUGGCUCAAGUAGGAAUAGAAGACACAUAGACCAAGUUUGAUUAUAAAGCAAACAUCAUUCCCACUUGGCCUUACGAUCUAUCUGUUUCUAGGCUGUCAUACAGAAGGGAAAGGACUAACAAGUAGAUCUUGUGUUUGCAGGAAGUCAUGCCUGAGAUGAGCGUUGUACGCAAGUGAUUUACCAAGAGCUCUCAGGAGACAUCCAGAAGGGUGCAUAGUCAGAAGAAUAAAGAAGAAGCCAAAAGUCCUCUGUGCAUUUUUUUGAUUAAGAGAAGCUUGGAGGGACUGGGAAGCUCACAGCCGGUGGUUGGGACAGAGCCAGGACUUGAACUCAGUUGGGUGCAUCCUGGUGCCCAGCUGUGGGCUGCGGUGCCUCAUGCACAUGAAGAGGGAGGGACCGUGCUGCUCUCGAAGUUUAUAGCUGAAGAACCAGCUCUUGGAGGUCACAUGACUUGCUUGAACGCAGGGCCUGGGAAGUUCCUGGAAGAACUCAGGUUCUGUUUUUGUGCCUCCUUUUGUCAGUACAGGAACAGUCAGAUGGCCCUGUGAGCUGCACCACAGUGGGCAAAGCCAGGAAGUGCUCCUUCAGGAUCUGAAUAAUUUUCUGCAGCUUCUACAUCAACACUUGCAGGUCAAUCAGCUGCUUGUCCCUCUAAGUAAAACUUGUGAUGUAAACCGAAGAUUCUACAGGUGUAAACUGAAGACUGUACAGGUGUGUACAGCUACUGCAUGGUUCUUCCACGUCUUUCUCGUAUGGCAUUAACUGUCACAACCCAGGACUACCUUCUGCAGCAUGAAGUGGUCAUCACAUUACAAAAACUUCCACUUUAGUAAGAGGUAAACUAUUAUAUGACAGACCAAAUAAGAGAUAGAUCUUAUGAUCCAUCAUAUUCCAUUUGGACUUGGAGCCCUCUGCACUUCAUUUGAAGGUAGUCCUGGUUUUCUAUGCACAUUGAACUGUCAGAACAUUUGAAGAUGAUGAUAAAUUCCAUUUUGAAGGGGACAUGAGAGUGAACAUUUUAUUGAAAGUGUUGGAUUUUCAAGCCAAGAUGUCAGGAAAGAGUUGUCAGCUGAGGUUAUACUUGGGAAGAUUUUACGAAUUAGAGAUGAAAUAUAUUUUCACUGAAGCCUUUGACCUGCAGAUGCAGACAAGAUGAUGAUGAAGAGGGUCUCUUCACUGGCAUCAGUGAGAAUAAACAAAACACAUAGUAUGCAUACUGUGGAGCAGACAGUAUUUCUAAACACACUUGCAAACACUCUUGAAUAUUUGGA